rnacentral:rRNA from 1 species
AUGCUUAAAGUUGAUCUUCCAAAAGCUUUUGAUCGUAUUGAAUGGAAUUUCAUUGUUUCCGCUCUUGAACGUAAAGGAUUGCAUGCUCAUUUCAUUAAUUUAAUUUAUGCAUGCAUCUCCUCGCCUUCGUUCUCAGUCAUUAUCAAUGAUCAACCAACUCAUAGAUUUAAAAGUAACAGGGGUAUUAGGCAAGGAUGUCCUAUGUCCCCCUAUCUUUUUGUGCCUGCCAUUAAUGAACUUUCUCUUACUCUCAAUGAUGCCAUGGCUGCUAACCACCUUCACGGUAUUUUGCUUGGGCCAAAUUGCCCCCCUGUCCACUAUUUGCUCUUUGCAGAUGACCUUCUGGUAUGUGGCCCGCUAAUUUGCAAGAAGCUAGUAUGA